UGCGUAGGUGGUGAGGUAAGUCGGAUGUGAAAUCUCCGAGCUCAACUCGGAAAUGGCAUUGGAAACUGCCUUGCUAGAGGAUUGGAGGGGAGACUGGAAUGCUUGGUGUAGCAGUGAAAUGCGUAGAUAUCAAGCGGAACACCAGUGGCGAAGGCGAGUCUCUGGACAAUUCCUGACACUGAGCACGAAAGCCGAGGGGAGCGAAACG
rnacentral:rRNA from 1 species